rnacentral:tRNA from 1 species
AAAAAUUUAGUUAAAUUAUAACAUUAGUCCGUCAAACUAAAAUUACCUCCAAAAUGGGAUAAUUUUUA